rnacentral:miRNA from 1 species
UGGAAACAUUUGAUCGUACCAUG